rnacentral:lncRNA from 1 species
GAACAGCCUCCUUCCAAUGCAGCUUGGCUGUGAUCACAGCGGAAAAAAGCUGGAAUUCAUCACUGUGAACUUGAUACCUACGUACAGACAGAUGCAACAGCCCAGCACCUUCAAAACAAACCAUCUGCUAGCUCACUACUUUCUCUUCCUUACAAUCACUCCCUCCCAGGAUAUGUUUAUUAAUUUUCUGAACUUAAAAAAAAGAGAGA